rnacentral:rRNA from 1 species
CAAUAGCGUAUAUUUAAGUUGCUGCAGUUAAAAAGCUCGUAGUUGGAUUUCGGGUGGGAAUGGCCGGUCCGCCGUUUCGGUGUGCACUUGCUACGCCCACCUUGCUGCCGGGGACGUGCUCUUGAGUUCACGCUCGGGACACGGAGUCGGCGAGGUUACUUUGAGUAAAUUUGAGUGUUCAAAGCAGGCCUACGCUCUGAAUACAUUAGCAUGGAAUAACACGAUAGGACUCUGGCCUAUCUUGUUGGUCUGUAGGACCGGAGUAAUGAUUAAGAGGGACAGUCGGGGGCAUUCGUAUUUCAUUGUCAGAGGUGAAAUUCUUGGAUUUAUGAAAGACGAACUACUGCGAAAGCAUUUGCCAAGGAUGUUUUCAUUAA